UACGUAGGGUGCAAGCGUUGUCCGGAAUUAUUGGGCGUAAAGAGCGUGUAGGCGGCCCGACCAGUCCGCUGUGAAAAUCCAGGGCUCAACCCUGGAAUGCCGGUGGAUACUGUCGGGCUAGAGUCCGGAAUGGGCGAGUGGAAUUCCUGGUGUAGCGGUGAAAUGCGCAGAUAUCAGGAGGAACACCAAUGGCGAAGGCAGCUCGCUGGGACGUGACUGACGCUGAGACGCGAAAGCGUGGGGAGCAAACAGG
rnacentral:rRNA from 1 species